UUUCCAGACUCCUACGGGAGGCAGCAGUGGGGAAUAUUGGGCAAUGGGCGCAAGCCUGACCCAGCAACGCCGCGUGAAGGAAGAAGGCUUUCGGGUUGUAAACUUCUUUUCUGAGGGACGAAGAUGACGGUACCUGGGGAGGAAGCUCCGGCUAACUACGUGCCAGCAGCCGCGGUAAUACGUAGGGAGCAAGCGUUGUCCGGAAUUACUGGGUGUAAAGGGAGCGUAGGCGGGAUGGCAAGUUGGGUGUUAAAUCUACCGGCUCAACUGGUAGUCGCACUCAAAACUGCUAUUCUUGAGUGAAGUAGAGGCAGGCGGAAUUCCUAGUGUAGCGGUGAAAUGCGUAGAUAUUAGGAGGAACACCAGUGGCGAAGGCGGCCUGCUGGGCUUUUACUGACGCUGAGGCUCGAAAGUGUGGGGAGCAAACAGGAUUAGAUACCCCCGUACC
rnacentral:rRNA from 1 species